GUUUCCGUAGGUGAACCUGCGGAAGGAUCAUUACAGUAUUCUUUUUGCCAGCGCUUAAUUGCGCGGCGAAAAAACCUUACACACAGUGUUUUUUGUUAUUACAAGAACUUUUGCUUUGGUCUGGACUAGAAAUAGUUUGGGCCAGAGGUUUACUGAACUAAACUUCAAUAUUUAUAUUGAAUUGUUAUUUAUUUAAUUGUCAAUUUGUUGAUUAAAUUCAAAAAAUCUUCAAAACUUUCAACAACGGAUCUCUUGGUUCUCGCAUCGAUGAAGAACGCAGCGAAAUGCGAUAAGUAAUAUGAAUUGCAGAUUUUCGUGAAUCAUCGAAUCUUUGAACGCACAUUGCGCCCUCUGGUAUUCCAGAGGGCAUGCCUGUUUGAGCGUCAUUUCUCUCUCAAACCUUCGGGUUUGGUAUUGAGUGAUACUCUUAGUUGAACUAGGCGUUUGCUUGAAAUGUAUUGGCAUGAGUGGUACUGGAUAGUGCUAUAUGACUUUCAAUGUAUUAGGUUUAUCCAACUCGUUGAAUAGUUUAAUGGUAUAUUUCUCGGUAUUCUAGGCUCGGCCUUACAAUAUAACAAACAAGUUUGACCUCAAAUCAGGUAGGAUUACCCGCUGAACUUAAGCAUAUCAAUAA
rnacentral:rRNA from 1 species